rnacentral:rRNA from 1 species
AAUCCAUAGGUUAAUGAGGCGAACCGGGGGAACUGAAACAUCUAAGUACCCCGAGGAAAAGAAAUCAACCGAGAUUCCCCCAGUAGCGGCGAGCGAACGGGGAGGAGCCCAGAGCCUGAAUCAGCAUGUGUGUUAGUGGAAGCGUCUGGAAAGGCGCGCGAUACAGGGUGACAGCCCCGUACACAAAAGCGCAUGUGCUGUGAGCUCGAUGAGUAGGGCGGGACACGUGGUAUCCUGUCUGAAUAUGGGGGGACCAUCCUCCAAGGCUAAAUACUCCUGACUGACCGAUAGUGAACCAGUACCGUGAGGGAAAGGCGAAAAGAACCCCGGCGAGGGGAGUGAAAAAGAACCUGAAACCGUGUACGUACAAGCAGUGGGAGCACCCUUUUGGGUGUGACUGCGUACCUUUUGUAUAAUGGGUCAGCGACUUAUAUUCUGUAGCAAGGUUAACCGAAUAGGGGAGCCGUAGGGAAACCGAGUCUUAACCGGGCGUUAAGUUGCAGGGUAUAGACCCGAAACCCGGUGAUCUAGCCAUGGGCAGGUUGAAGGUUGGGUAACACUAACUGGAGGACCGAACCGACUAAUGUUGAAAAAUUAGCGGAUGACCUGUGGCUGGGGGUGAAAGGCCAAUCAAACCGGGAGAUAGCUGGUUCUCCCCGAAAGCUAUUUAGGUAGCG